rnacentral:tRNA from 1 species
GCGCGAGUGGCGGAAUUGGCAGACGCGCUGGACUUAGGAUCCAGUGGUGUACACCGUGUGGGUUCAAGUCCCACUUCGCGCACCA